GACGAACGCUAGCUACAGGCUUAACACAUGCAAGUCGAGGGACCGGCGCACGGGUGAGUAACACGUAUCCAACCUGCCCUUUACUCGGGGAUAGCCUUUCGAAAGAAAGAUUAAUACCCGAUAUAACGGAUGGGGAUGCGUUCCAUUAGGUUGUUGGUGAGGUAACGGCUAACCAAGCCUUCGAUGGAUAGGGGUUCGGAGAGGAAGGUCCCCCACAUUGGAACUGAGACACGGUCCAAACUCGUACGGGCGGCAGCAGUGAUGAAGAUUGGUCAAGGGGCGCUAGCCUGAACCAGCCAAUUAGCGGGAAGGAUGAAGGGUUAUGGGUCGUAAACUUCUUUUAUAUAAGAAUAUGUAUUAUAUGAAUAAGGAUCGGCUAACUACGUGCCAGCAGCCGCGGUAAUUC
rnacentral:rRNA from 1 species